CCUAUCGCCUCCACGCGAGCCCAGCGCCGCCGCCCUCUCGUGCCUCCCCCAUGCGAGCCCAACGCCGUUGCUCUCCUCUGCCGCCCCCACACGCUGUGUGCGUGCUGCCACCAUCUCCGCCGCCUCCUCGAGACGAGGCCGCUACCAUAAGCCCCACUCCGGCGCACUUGCCCGCCCAUGUAGGUACUCUUUCAUCGGCCGUGGUGGUCGCUGCCGCCGCGCUCCAUGACGCCUGCGACACUGGCCUCGGGAACUCGGUCUGGAUCGCCUCCACGCCUCCACAGGAGGAGCAAGAAGGCCUGGUACGCUACAUCCCUCUCAAGGCCCUACUUCCUCUCCACCAGUUGAGUUAAAACAUGUGAGUCGUUGUACGCUGGGUGUUUGAUGAUAGUUCUGCAAGGAAGAUCAUGCGUGCUACUGUGUUUUUUCAAUCUCUCAUCUAACAUUGUCGUGGGAAGCUUCUAAGGAUUGGAGUACCUCUGCGUACAAGUUACAAUGGGCCUGGUGGGGUAAAGGGGUCUUCAGUUGAUGUUUUCAAAUCUGCAAUAAGCUUGUUGUCUUACACUGGGAUGCAGUUCUGUUUUAUUUGGAGAUGGAUUGAAAAAUCCGAGCUACAAUGACCUUCUACAAAGCUGUCCGAAAAUGUGAGUAACAUCUCCAUAUCAUUGUGUCUGAAAAACUACUGCACCAUCUUUAUUCGGAUUGAUACACGUAUAUAUAGAUGCUCUGGUCUGCCCUCAACUUUUGCUUCUUUUUGCUUCUUAAUUGGUUAUCAUCUGGCAAAGUAUGCUUAUUUAUUUGGCUUGCAGCCAAUAUUCUAUAGCUGAUAUACAUUUUCCAGGUAUAUUUGGUUCUAAUCUUUUAUCUGCUUCUUCUCUGAAUUGAUAAUGAUAAGUUAUGUUCGCCGCAAUUCUGCCGCCACCGUCCACGUCGUUUCCAUGAUGGCAGCCUUGGCGCCAGGGCGUGGGAGCUACUUCUCAGCCUUGCCGGGGUUGACGGCAGCGACACAAUCAUUAACUUUUGGCGUGUUCAUUUGUAUCAAGUGUUCUGGAGCUCAUACAAACCUGGGGGUGCACAUUUCCAAGGUGAAAAUGGUUCUCUUUUAAUAGUAGUGUAGACUAGAUACGAGGCAUUUCUUGGAAAGUACACAAAGCCAAGGCAAGAUUGCUCAGCGGAUGACCGAAAUGAUUUUAUAAGGUAUACACUAAGUUAGCAGAUUCUCAUUCUUUGGGAUGCAUUCCCGUAGCAUGGCAGGGUUCUUUCAUAUUUGCUCAACACAACUCUACUGAAGAAUGAUGAUUCUCCUUAUUCGCACAUUUGUAUGCGAAAAUUAUACUCCUACAAAAUUACAUCAGUUGAUGAUUCUCCUUAUUCGCAUCUCGACUCAACAGUUUUUGUCUAACCAACAGCUUUCAUGUGCUUCACAAAACAAUGACAAAUAUCAUUACCAGCAGCCAUUUAAGUUGUCCUACAUUAAAGUUGUUGGUUAUUCUCUAUUAUGUCGUUCAAUUUGGCCUACGACCUCUAGAUGGUGAUCAAUAGUGUUGCAAGUUAGAUAAAGAAAGGUGAGUACUGGUCAUUUGAGUAAGAAGUUCUUACAUGAGGAAAAUAUUUGGCGCUUUCAUCGAGGCCAUCUUUGCAAAAUGGGCAUGUCUAGGACUAAACAAUGAUCCAACCUAAGCCAGUUAUAUGUUCUUUAACGUGGGUUCAUAUACAUUUAAAAAGACUAUUUUUGUAAAGGUAUGUCACAUAUUUUAGUGUAAUUAUAAAUCUCCACAUAUUAUAUAUGAUGCCACCAAUGGGUCAUUCCGACUAGGUAUUUGUAUUUUGAAAUGUUGUUUCUCAGUUUUGUAGCCUUUUUCUUAAGAGGCAUAAAAGGGGCAUCAGGACUAUGUAAAAUUCGGAUCUAUAAUAUGUAUUUUUCUGUAUAAGAGGGCAAUGAAAUUCAUGGUUUUUUA